AAUGAAUGAGGUUCAGGUGGUGAUUGACACUCCUGACCACCAAUCAGUAGCGAGCAGGCACUAUUUAGAGUGGGUUGGUUUGAGCCUGGCAUGUGUCACGCCCGGAUCCUCCCCUUUUGCGGUUGCUAAAGACAUUUCAGCCUGUCUUUUCAGUGUGUGUCCCUGUUGGAUGCUGCUUUGGAUCUGUUUAUUGCCCUCCCUGCAGUUUAACAGCAGGUUAUUUGAAGGCUGCGUAUCCUGAGCGGUGAAUUGAUUCUCAGGAACUUAUCUAUCCGCGUUUGGAUCCUCCUUCUCUCCUCCUCUCCUUCUCUCCUUCUCUCCUCCUCUCCUUCUCUCCUUCUCUUCUUUUUCGUCCUGGGUGAUUAUUGCUGCGAUUCGACUUUUCCCUCGCUGCGUGCCGAGUGAACAACCUCGGCUUACAACUAUUGAAAAGGGGAAUUCUGCUGCUGCCAUUUGGCUUCUGUGAUUUGUUUUAACCGGUAUUGUCUGGUCUACUGUGGGGUCGAGCAACGUGCAAGUAUCGGGGCUGGCUUGAAGACGACGUGGCCGCUCCUUUUGGGUUUUGCUUCCCUCAACCUUUUAAUCAAGUUCUUCAUUGGUUUUUGUUUAAGCGGUGUAUAUGGUGAAUCAUAUUGUGCUUGGUGACUAUCCAUCAUAUUACGGUGGAAUUGUGACCUUAAUUCGCUGUUUCCUUCCUUUCUGUCUGAGAUUUAUUUUGCUUUUGGUUUCUUUCAGGAGCUGGGGUCCCACGGGUGAAAGGUCUUUGGUGGUGCUAUUUCUACAUUUGCUGUACGACACUUUUGACGUGUAUGAGUGGGUGUUUUGAGUUCACGGUGAGGUGUGUGUGGAAGUGUGCUUUUUGAUAAUUAGUGCUGAUCACUCCGGUGGGUAACUCCAGCCCUGUAUGCAAUGAUUUUAUGUUUUGUUCAUUUGGAAGUUGUGUAAAUUUAUUGUUUAAUAUUUUGUGUCCGAUUGUUUAUUUUUUGUUAUUUGUGUAAUUGUCACUGGACCAUAUUCACCAGCGAGAACAUUUUUUGUUUUAUAUUUUAAAGCUAAGUUUUCAAUAAACUUUGUAUUGUUUUAUACGA